GAUAGAGGAUGCAGGCGUUAUCCGGAAUGAUUGGGCGUAAAGCGUCUGUAGGUGGCUUUUCAAGUCCGCCGUCAAAUCCCAGGGCUCAACCCUGGACAGGCGGUGGAAACUACUAAGCUGGAGUACGGUAGGGGCAGAGGGAAUUUCCGGUGGAGCGGUGAAAUGCAUUGAGAUCGGAAAGAACACCAACGGUGAAAGCACUCUGCUGGCCGACACUGACACUGAGAGACGAAAGCUAGGGGAGCAAAUGGG
rnacentral:rRNA from 1 species